rnacentral:rRNA from 1 species
GACUCGUCACACUAUCAUUAACUGAAUCCAUAGGUUAAUGAGGCGAACCGGGGGAACUGAAACAUCUAAGUACCCCGAGGAAAAGAAAUCAACCGAGAUUCCCCCAGUAGCGGCGAGCGAACGGGGAGGAGCCCAGAGCCUGAAUCAGCAUGUGUGUUAGUGGAAGCGUCUGGAAAGGCGCGCGAUACAGGGUGACAGCCCCGUACACAAAAGCGCAUGUGCUGUGAGCUCGAUGAGUAGGGCGGGACACGUGGUAUCCUGUCUGAAUAUGGGGGGACCAUCCUCCAAGGCUAAAUACUCCUGACUGACCGAUAGUGAACCAGUACCGUGAGGGAAAGGCGAAAAGAACCCCGGCGAGGGGAGUGAAAAAGAACCUGAAACCGUGUACGUACAAGCAGUGGGAGCACCCUUUGGGGUGUGACUGCGUACCUUUUGUAUAAUGGGUCAGCGACUUAUAUUCUGUAGCAAGGUUAACCGAAUAGGGGAGCCGGAGGGAAACCGAGUCUUAACCGGGCGUUAAGUUGCAGGGUAUAGACCCGAAACCCGGUGAUCUAGCCAUGGGCAGGUUGAAGGUUGGGUAACACUAACUGGAGGACCGA